rnacentral:rRNA from 1 species
UACGAAGGGGGCUAGCGUUGCUCGGAUUUACUGGGCGUAAAGGGCGCGUAGGCGGCCAGUUUAGUCAGAGGUGAAAGCCCGGGGCUCAACCUCGGAAUUGCCUUUGAUACUGGCUGUCUUGAGUAUGGAAGAGGUAUGUGGAACUCCGAGUGUAGAGGUGAAAUUCGUAGAUAUUCGGAAGAACACCAGUGGCGAAGGCGACAUACUGGUCCAUUACUGACGCUCAUGCACGAAAGCGUGGGGAGCAAACAGG